GACGAACGCUGGCGGCGUGGAUUAGGCAUGCAAGUCGCGCGACGGUCUUCCUUCGGGGAGAUACGGAGCGGCGAACGGGUGAGUAACACGUGAGGAACCUGUCCCUACUUUCCGGAUAAUUGGCCGAAAGGCCUUGUAAUACGGGGGAGGGUCUUUGGUGGGCAUCCACUAAAGAAGGAAGGCGCAAGCCGAGCAGGGAGGGUCCCGCGGCCUAUCAGCUUGUUGGGGAGGUAACGGCUCACCAAGGCGACGACGGGUAGCGGGUCUGAGAGGAUGAUCCGCCGGACGGGGACUGAGACACGGCCCAGACUCCUACGGGAGGCAGCAGUGGGGAAUCUUGCACAAUGCGCGAAAGCGUGAUGCAGCAACGCCG
rnacentral:rRNA from 1 species